rnacentral:rRNA from 1 species
UACGUAGGCAGCGAGCGUUGUUCGGAGUUACUGGGCGUAAAGGGUGCGUAGGCGGUUGUUUAAGUUUGGUGUGAAAUCUCCCGGCUCAACUGGGAGGGUGCGCCGAAUACUGAAUGACUAGAGUGCGGGAGAGGAGAGUGGAAUUCCUGGUGUAGCGGUGAAAUGCGUAGAUAUCAGGAGGAACACCUGCGGUGUAGACGGCUUUCUGGACCAUUGUUGACGCUGAGACACGAAAGCGUGGGUAGCAAACAGG